rnacentral:rRNA from 1 species
UCUACGGGGAGCAGCAGUGGGGAAUAUUGGACAAUGGGCGAAAGCCUGAUCCAGCCAUGCCGCGUGUGUGAAGAAGGCCUUCGGGUUGUAAAGCACUUUCAGUGGGGAAGAAAGCCUUGGGGCUAAUACCCUCGAGGAAGGACAUCACCCACAGAAGAAGCACCGGCUAACUCCGUGCCAGCAGCCGCGGUAAUACGGAGGGUGCGAGCGUUAAUCGGAAUUACUGGGCGUAAAGCGCGCGUAGGCGGUCUGAUAAGCCGGUUGUGAAAGCCCCGGGCUCAACCUGGGAACGGCAUCCGGAACUGUCAGGCUAGAGUGCAGGAGAGGAAGGUAGAAUUCCCGGUGUAGCGGUGAAAUGCGUAGAGAUCGGGAGGAAUACCAGUGGCGAAGGCGGCCUUCUGGACUGACACUGACGCUGAGGUGCGAAAGCGUGGGUAGCAAACAGGAUUAGAUACCCUAGUAGUC